rnacentral:lncRNA from 1 species
CACAGAGCAGUUCUAGGACUAUCUUGUGCAGUUGUGGAGGGGGGCGCCGUGAAAGAAUCUCCAUCUGCCCAACUUAUUAGCUUCAACUGCAGAGUCCAAAACAAUCUUGCUCCAAUCCCAUUCUACCCCUGUCGAUCUAAGCCAGUGCUGUGGGUACCAGCAGGGUCGCUGCGCUUCUGGUGAGUGGGUUGUGAUGUGGUUCCUAUAUAUACAGGACUAAAAGAAUCAGAGUGGCUUAUUCGGUCUAUUGUUUUCUCUACUUUCAGUUAUGUUUCUCUACUUUUUUUUUAUCAAAAGCGCAAAAUUCGGAAAGGAAAAAUUGCGCCAUAGAUGCAUGG